UCACAGAUCAGCUGACUGAUCAGUGAGGUCACAGAUCAGCUGACUGAUCAGUGAGGUCACAGAUCAGCUGACUGAUCGGUGAGGUCAUAGAUCAGCUGAGAUCAGCUGACUGAUCGGUGAGGUCACAGAUCAGCUGACUGAUCAGUGGUCAGUUCAUACCAUCACUGUAGUCGAUGGCAGCAUAAUGACCCAGGAAGAGUGAGGCUGCAAAGCUGCUGACCAAUGAGAUCCUCUGAAACCACACACACACACACACACACACACACACAC